UACGUAGGGUGCGAGCGUUAAUCGGAAUUACUGGGCGUAAAGCGUGCGCAGGCGGUGAUGUAAGACAGGUGUGAAAUCCCCGGGCUUAACCUGGGAACUGCAUUUGUGACUGCAUCGCUGGAGUACGGCAGAGGGGGAUGGAAUUCCGCGUGUAGCAGUGAAAUGCGUAGAUAUGCGGAGGAACACCGAUGGCGAAGGCAAUCCCCUGGACCUGUACUGACGCUCAUGCACGAAAGCGUGGGGAGCAAACAGG
rnacentral:rRNA from 1 species